AGCAGCCGCGGUAAUUCCAGCUCCAAUAGCGUAUAUUAAAGUUGUUGCAGUUAAAAGCUCGUAGUUGAAUUUCGGGGUUAGUAGGUUGGUCAUGCCUCUGGUAUGUACUGGUCUCACUGAUUCCUCCUUCCUGAUGAACUUUAAUGCCAUUAAUUUGGUGUUUUGGGGAAUUUGGACUGUUACUUUGAAAAAAUUAGAGUGUUUAAAGCAAGCUAACGCUUGAAUACAUUAGCAUGGAAUAAUGAAAUAGGACGUUCGAUCCUAUUUUGUUGGUUUCUAGGAUUGACGUAAUGAUUAAUAGGGAUAGUUGGGGGCAUUAGUAUUCAAUUGUCAGAGGUGAAAUUCUUGGAUUUAUUGAAGACUAACUACUGCGAAAGCAUUUGCCAAGGAUGUUUUCAUUAAUCAAGAACGAAAGUUAGGGGAUCGAAGACGAUCAGAUACCGUCGUAGUCUUAACCAUAAACUAUGCCGACUAGGGAUCGGAUGAUGUUAAUUUUUUUAAUGACUCAUUCGGCGCCUUA
rnacentral:rRNA from 1 species